rnacentral:rRNA from 1 species
UACAGGGGGGGCAAGCGUUGUUCGGAAUUACUGGGCGUAAAGGGCGCGUAGGCGGCCAACUAAGUCACACGUGAAAUCCCCAGGCUUAACCUGGGAACUGCGUGUGAUACUGGAUGGCUUGAAUUCGGGAGAGGGAUGCAGAAUUCCAGGUGUAGCGGUGAAAUGCGUAGAUAUCUGGAGGAAUACCGGUGGCGAAGGCGGCAUCCUGGACCGACAUUGACGCUGAGGCGCGAAAGCUAGGGGAGCAAACGGG